GAUGAAGAACGUAGCGAAAUGCGAUAAGUAGUGUGAAUUGCAGAAUUCAGUGAAUCAUCGCAUCUUUGAACGCACAUUGCGCCCGCCAGUAUUCUGGCGGGCAUGCCUGUUCGAGCGUCAUUACAACCCUCAGGCCCCCGGGCCUGGCGUUGGGGAUCGGCGGAGCCCCCCGUGGGCACACGCCGUCCCCCAAAUGCAGUGGCGGUCCCGCCGCAGCUUCCAUCGCGUAGUAGCUAACACCUUGCGACUGGAGAGCGGCGCGGCCACGCCGUAAAACACCCAACUCUUCUGAAGUUGACCUCGAAUCAGGUAGGAAUACCCGCUGAACUUAAGCAUAUCAAUAAGCGGAGGA
rnacentral:misc_RNA from 1 species